rnacentral:rRNA from 1 species
CCCUUAGAUGUCCUGGGCUGCACGCGCGCUACACUGAUGUGUCCAGUAAGCACCUAACCUCUUCCGAAAGGAACGGGUAACCUUUGCAAAGCACAUCGUGAUGGGGAUAGAUUAUUGCAAUUAUUAGUCUUGCACGAGGAAUUCCUAGUAAGCACAAGUCAUCAGCUUGUGUUGAUUACGUCCCUGCCCUUUGUACACACCGCCCGUCGCUCCUACCGAUUGAAUGUUCCGGUGAGCUCUUCGGACUGCGCGGUCUGCAGUUUCUGCGUUCCGUGCGGAAAGUUGCGCAAACCUUAACAUUUAGAGGAAGGAGAAGUCGUAACA